AGAAUCAACGCUGGCGGCGUGCCUAACACAUGCAAGUCGAGCGCGAAAGGGGCGCAAGCCCUGAGUAGAGUGGCAAACGGGUGAGUAACACGUGGGUGACCUGCCUUCGAGUGGGGGAUAACGUUCCGAAAGGAACGCUAAUACCGCAUGACAUCCUGCGUUUGGAGACGCGGACAUCAAAGCUGGGGAUCGCAAGACCUGGCGCUCGGAGAGGGGCCCGCGGCUGAUUAGCUAGUUGGUGGGGUAAUGGCUCACCAAGGCGACGAUCAGUA
rnacentral:rRNA from 1 species